rnacentral:tRNA from 1 species
GGAUUGUGGCUCGGUGGUAGAGCACUUGCCUAGGAUGUGCAAGACCCUGGGUUCAAUCCUCAGCACCA